ACCUUAAAUAUAAUUUUGGUACAUAAAUUGAAAGGUGGUAUACUUAAAUGUAAUAAACCCAAACCUUAAACAUGAGUGGUUAUAAGGUUUGGUAUAUGAAAUGUAUAGGUAAAAAUACCCAAAUAUAAAUAGACAAAUUUUGUAUACAGACAAUAAUAAUGAGAAAUAAAAAGGUUCAGGGUCUAUUUUCACCGAUCCUUUUCUCUCUCCUUCUCUUCAUCUUUUCUAGAGUUUUCAUUUUCUCUCUUUCGCCAUAGCUCACAGAUCUUCGAGCUAACACGGUAUCAAAGCAUGAAUUUUGUUUCCUCUCGUCAUAAGCUUUUUCCGGCGUUACCCUUUCUCUGAGUUUUCAUCGAUUUUAUCUUCGAUUGACUCAGAACAACGAAACUAUCAACCAACAUUUUUCCACCGGUGAUUUUUGGGGCUUUCUUCAUCUAUCGACUACUAGUACUCUUAUGAUGCCGGAUACCUUGGAUUAUCUCAGAUUUCGUGGUUGAUUUUGUCAAAUCUAACUUCUUAGGGUUUAUAUUUAUAGUAGAAUCUUCUUCUUCGAGUUUUAGUAGAAGGUUGGUAAUAUCCUUCUCUUUUUCAAUUGUAAAAUUGCCUAGAUUUUUGUUGCAUGUUGUAGCAUAUUUUCAGAAAACAUGUGUGUUGAAGUUAUGCUUUAUUAUUUUGUUUUGUCUUUGUGUCUCUAAUUUUACCUUUGUUUCUUAAUGCAGCUUCCCCUUUUUUAUCCUAUACGCCGAGGGUCGAUUGGAAACAGCCUCUCUGCCCUUUCGGGCAGGNNNNNNNNNNNNNNNNNNNNNNNNNNNNNNNNNNNNNNNNNNNNNNNNNNNNNNNNNNNNNNNNNNNNNNNNNNNNNNNNNNNNNNNNNNNNNNNNNNNNNNNNNNNNNNNNNNNNNNNNNNNNNNNNNNNNNNNNNNNNNNNNNNNNNNNNNNNNNNNNNNNNNNNNNNNNNNNNNNNNNNNNNNNNNCUGCCCUUUCGGGCAGGGGUAAGGCUGUCUACAUAUUACCCUCCCCAGACCCCACUUGGUGGGAGUAUACUGGGUAGUUGUUGUUGUUGUUGUUGUAUGUGUGUUGUAGUUGUUGUUGUUUGUGUUAUUUUAAUUCAUUUUAGCUGAAAUUCAUGCUAUGGGUAAUGUUAUGGAUAAUGUAGGAUCACCUAGUAGCACAAGUUCUGAUAGACACCUUUUAUACUGGACAUGUCUCAUCCAUUGUAUGUGCACCCUUCUGAUAGUCCUGGUAGUCAGCCGGUGUCUGUACCUUUUAAUAGGCGUGGUUUGUGGUAUGGAGGAGUAGUAUGCUUACCUCUCUAUCUACAAAGAACAAAUUAGGGCUUUUAGAUGGUAGAGUUCCCAAACCUUCACCAAACUCCCCUUAUUAUCCGUACUAGGAGAGGUGCAAUGAUAUGGUUAAGGCAUGGAUCACUGAUUCUUAUCUGGGGAAAUUGCAACCAGUGUCAUGUGUCCUAAGACUGAAAGGGAAGUAUGGAGAGACAUCAAUGAGAGGUUUGGUCAAAUGGGUCAAAAUAUCUCCAAAUUCAAAGAAAAAUUAGCAUAACUACUCAAGGUUCUCCUAAUAUUGCCACAUACUUCACCAAACUUAUUAGUCCAUGGGAUGAAUUGAAUUCUCUUAUGUGGGUCAUGUUUGUUCCUGUGGAUCUAUUCCAAAGUUUAUAGAGGAUCAACAACUAUUCCAGUUCCUCAAUGGUCCGAAUGAGUCAUACUCCACCGAGAAGAGUGCUAUCAUGAUGAUAAAUCCUCUACUUUCAAUAAGCAAGGCUUAUUCUCUAUUACAUCAGGAUGAGAGUCAAAAGGAAGCUCUCUCAAUGUUGUUUAUUUUUCUGGUGAUUCUGCUUCUUUCUUUGUGUCACCUACACAGUCAGGCAAUAACAGAAAUUUUACUCAAAGGGUAAAUUUUGAAUAAGAAAGAGUGUCACUACUGUGUCUUGCAAAUAUUGUAAGAAACCUGGACACAAAAUGAAAAACUGUUACAGACUUCAUGGGUUUCCCCCGAGUUCAAGUUCACAAAGAACAAGAAGUUUGCACCAUGUGUCCAAGGAGACAUACCUUAUCCUCAACCAUCGUCUGCUAUCAAUCAGCUUCCAGGAAAUUCUUCUCCAAUUCAUGGCUUUACUAAGGAACAAUACCAACACCUCCUAAUGCUAUUCCAACAAGUUCAAGUCUCUCUUGGUCCUAUUUCUAACAUUCCUCCAGGUGAGGACUCUGGUUUUGCUCACUUUACAGGUUUGUUUACUGCUUAUGCUGUAGAAUCUAUAGAGUCUCAUGUGUCUGGAUCUUCACAGGCUAUUGUGGACCCUUGGAUUUUGGAUCCAUGAGCCACCAAUCACAUGACCCCACACAAAUAUUUACUUCAUGAUAUUGUGCCAUUAGUUAGACAUUUCCUUGUUACUUUACCAAAUGGUUACAAAGUAAGGGUUAUAUCGAUCGGGUCGUUGCACCUUCGACAUGCUAUAACUCUGCUUAAUGUAAUUCUUGUGCUUUCUUUUCAUUUCAACUUAAUCUCUAUACAUCAACUCAUUACCCAACUGGAUUGUAUAGCAGUACUUACCAAGGGCCCUUAUCUGAAGAGGCCACUAGUAAUUGGUAAGGCUGCUGCCAGACUCUAUUAUCUACAGAUGCAGAGUUGUUUCCCACUUCAAACCCUGCUUUUUCAUCCCAUGCUACUACACAUUGUAUAAAUUCUAGUUUCAAUAUAGGUUCCAUUCCUUGUCAUAAGUCUGCAUCAGUUUCCUAGUCUGUACUUGCUUCACCUAAAUGUAAUCAAACUUCUAUUGUCAAUAAAAUGGAUCUCUUUUGGCAUCGAAGAUUAGGUCACAUGCCUUUUCAUAAAAUUCAAUCUAUUCUUUUCUUAACUGAUAAAGUAUCUAGUAAACAAAAUUUUAUAUGUUCAAUAUGUCCUGUGGCUAGACAACAAAAGCUGCCUUUUCUUGAUAGCACCAUUCAUUCCGCUAAACCUUUUCAGCUAGUUCACAUUGACAUUUGAGGCAUAUAUAACACUAAAACUUACAAUGGAUUCAGAUAUUUCCUUGACUUAGUUGAUGAUUACACUAGAGUCACUUGUACUCAUAUCCUUUCUUCCAAAAGCAAUACCUUAUCUAUCUUAAAAGCUUUCAUUUAUAUGGUCAAAUUACAUUUCAAUUCUUCGUGAAUAACUUUAGAUCAGACAAUGCAUUUGAAUUUGGCAGUAGUGCUAAAGCUUCCACUUUCUUUGCUUCUCAAGAUAUACUACACCAAACUAUCAUUUCACAUACCCCUCAACAAAUGAUGUUGUGGAGAGAAAACAUAAAUAUUUUUUAGAGGUUUCAAGAUCUCUUUUGUUUCAAUCCAAACUACCACUUAAAAUUUGGUGUGACUGUGUUUUGACUGUCACUUACCUUAUAAAUAGUAUUCCUUCACCUCUUUUUCUCAAAGUUUCUCCUUAUGAGAAGCUGCAUGGAUAUCCACCCUCUUAUGACCACUUGAGGUCCUUUAGUUGUAUGUGUGUUGCCAACUCUCCUAAGGUUGGUAGGGAUAAGUUUCAAUCUAGAUCUAUUUCUUGUAUCUUCCUAGAUUACCUUUAUGGUAAGAAUGAUUAUAAGUUGUUGAAUCUGUCAAAUUACUCUGUGUUCUAUUCUAGGGAUGUACUAUUCCAUGAAUAUAUUUUUCCUUGCUCUUCCUCCUCCUCCUGUUCUAUUUUCACUUUUUACCUUCACUAUUUGUGGACAUUCCACCUUCUACACCUGUCAUCCCUUCUCACCCUGUUGCUUCUCCACCUUCAACCUCUACUCCACCUGCCUCUCCUCCUACCCGUAGUUGUUCUUCUGCUCCUACACCUACUGUGUCCCUCCUUUAAGAAAAUCCACCAGGACUGUUACAUAGCCUGCUUAUCUCAAAGAUUAUGUGUACUUCUACCAACUCCAAUUCUUCUACUUCUACCCUUUCCAAGGUUCUGCCUAGUGAAGCACACAUGCAUUAUUCUCAAUUCUACCAGCAGGCUGCUUCUCAUCCUACAUGGCAGGGAGGCUAUGCUAUAAGAAAUUUAAUGCUCUUGAGGCAAAUCAAUCUUUGGACAUUGUUCCUCUUCCUCCUCCCAAAAAGGCUAUUCCUUAUAAGUGGAUCUACAAGAUCAAGCAAAGGGCAGAUAGGUCUGUUGAAAGAUACAAGGCCGAAUUGGUUAUUAGAGGUGAUAUUUAGAAGGAAGGCAUUGAUUUUACUAAUACAUUUUCUCAUGUUAUCAAGCUCACUGCUAUCAAGUGCAUGCUGACCCUUGCCAUCAAGAGAGGUUGGAUUGUAUUGCGGUUGGAUGUUAAUAAUACCUUCCUCCAUGGUGAUUUUCAUGAGGAGGUUUUCAUGAAACUACCUCCAGGUCUUGAUAUCAAUUUUUCUUCUUCUUCUUCUUCCUCCUCCUCUUCCAUUCCAUUAGUUUGCAAGCUCAAGAAGUCAUUAUGUGGCCUUAGGUAAGCCUCUAGAUAGUGGUUUUCAAAACUGUUUGAAGCCUUACUCUGUAGAGGCUACAUUUCAAGUCUGAAUGAAUACUCCCUCUUCACCAAGUCUUCUUCUGGUUCUCUAGUGGUACUGACUGUUUAUGUUGAUGACAUACUUUUAGUUCGAGAUGACCUCAGUAAAAUGAACUUUUUGAAAUCUUUUUUGAAUGACCAGUUUAAGAAUAAGCAUUUGGGGCCAAUAAUUAUUUCUUGGUGCUGGAAAUCACUACUCAUCCUCAAGGUUAUCUCAUGAGCCAUCACAAGUAUACAACUGAUCUCCUCACCGAGUUCAACUGCCAUCAUUUCUCUCCAGUUAUGACUCUAUUAGAUCCUUCUGUUAAGCUUUACUUUGGACAUGGGUCAUCCUCUUCCUGAUCCUAGUCUUUACAGAAGAUUUAUUGGGAAACUCAAUUUCUUGCAGCAUAAAAGGCUUGAUAUUUCUUUCUUUGUCCACCAUCUGAGUCAAUUUCUUCAGCAGCUUCUGGUCCCUCACAUGCUGGAUGGCCUCCAUGUUCUCAGAUAUCUUAUGAAUGAUCCUUCUCAGGGAGUUCUUCUCUCCAAUUCUUCUAUCUUAGUUUCUCUCUUAUUGGUUAUUAUGACUCUGAAUGGGCUUCUUGUGCCAACACUCGGAAAGUCUGUUACUGGGUUUUAUGUGACUCUUAGUAGCAGUUUAAUUUCAUGAAAAAGCAAGAAGCAACCCACUAUUUCUUUAUCUUUAGUUGAAGCUGAGUACAGGGCAUUAUGGAAGGUGAUUGUUGUGAUAUCUUGGCUAAUUAUACUUCUUGGGGAUCUUGGGCUACCCAUUGACAGUCCUGUUCCAAACCAUUGUGACAGUCAGGCUGCUCUUGAUCAUAUUGCCAAAAAUUCUAAUUUUUCUUGAAUGUAUAAAGCAUAUUGAAAUUGACUGACAUUAUAUUUGUAAAUGCUUGAACCAUGGACUAAUUUCUUUGCAUUUUGUUUUCAGUGUCAACCAGUUGACUAACAUAAUGACAAAGGCUUUGUGUGGACAACUUCAUCAUAACAUUCUUACCAAGCUUGGUGUGUUUUCACCUCCAGCUCGGGGGGAUGUUAACCGGUCUUAUUUCACUUCAACAUUGGGCCAUAUUAGUGUUGAUAAGGGAAAAGGGCAGCCCAAUAGUGUUAUAUUGCAAUACGUGGCCCAGUAUUUUCUAUUUUUCCUUAGUUCUUAUACCUUUAUUGAUGUAAAUAAAUUGACAAUUUUGUACGCAGAUAAGAAUAAUGAGAAAUAACAGAGUUCAAGGUCUGUUUCCACUGACCCUUUUCUCUCUCUCUCUCUCUCUCUUCAUCUUUCCUAGGGUUUUCAUUUUCUCUCUUUCACCAUAGCUUGCAGAUGUACGAGCUAACAAAAUUUUCCAGGAACUUAUGUUUGUUUGUUUUUUCCCUUUAAAUCCCGUCCAAUUUAGGAAGACUAAUAGUGUUCCACAUUUUCCUUUCAACGUGACUCGAAUUAAGAACCUAACGGUCAUGGGUGAAGGUGCUUUGUUUGGGUUUCAAAUCAAAUAAGGCAGACGUGAAUAUGCAUGUCUAAUUCUUCGAUUCCAUUUAAUAAUAUUUAU
rnacentral:lncRNA from 1 species